GGGUAUAUAGCUCAGUGGUAAAGUGUAUGCUUAACAUGCAUGAGGUCCUGGGUUCAAUUCCCAGUACUUCCA
rnacentral:tRNA from 1 species